rnacentral:misc_RNA from 1 species
UCCGGUUUGGCACCGGCAGUCCCCCCAGAGUCCCCGGCAGGCUUGUUAAAGGCCUCCGCUGGCAACUAAGGGCAGGGGUUGCGCUCGUUGCGGCACUUAAGCCAACACCUCACGGCACGAGCUGACGACAGCCAUGCAGCACCUGAACCGGCAGCCCCCGAAGGGAAAAUCCUAUUUCUAGAACGGUCUGCCGUUGUCUAGCCCAGGUAAGGUUCUUCGCGUUGCGUCGAAUUGAACCACAUGCUCCACCGCUUGUGCGGGCCCCCGUCAAUUCCUUUGAGUUUCAGCCUUGCGGCCGUACUCCCCAGGCGGGGCACUUAUCGCGUUAGCUGCGGCACCGAGGGGGUCGCUCCCCCCGGCACCUAGUGCCCAUCGUUUACGGCGUGGACUAC